rnacentral:misc_RNA from 1 species
AAGUCGUAACAAGGUAACCGUAGGUGAACCUGCGGUUGGAUCAUUAAAAAGAUCUUUGGAGAUUUCUUAUCCAGAAACUCCAAGUCACACUCUUUGUAAUGAGCAGGCCCCUAAAAAAGGCAUUGUUCAUUGCGUAAAAAGAGGGUCUGACAAACAUUUUGUGAACUGUUCUGUCUCUGGCGGAGGGGUGGUGCAAGCCACUUGUCAGCAUGGGUUCGACCUUUGGUCUGAAUCUGUGCCGUGGACAUGCCGUCAAACAACUGUACAAACUUAUGCUGAAUAUAUUCUGUCUAACAAAUUUAUUGUAUAAAUAUACAAAACAACUUUUGGCAACGGAUCUCUUGGCUCUC